rnacentral:rRNA from 1 species
UACAUAGGUCCCGAGCGUUGUCCGGAUUUAUUGGGCGUAAAGCGAGCGCAGGUGGUUUAUUAAGUCUGGUGUAAAAGGCAGUGGCUCAACCAUUGUAUGCAUUGGAAACUGGUAGACUUGAGUGCAGGAGAGGAGAGUGGAAUUCCAUGUGUAGCGGUGAAAUGCGUAGAUAUAUGGAGGAACACCGGUGGCGAAAGCGGCUCUCUGGCCUGUAACUGACACUGAGGCUCGGAAGCGUGGGGAGCAAACAGG